rnacentral:rRNA from 1 species
UACGUAGGGUGCGAGCGUUAAUCGGAAUUACUGGGCGUAAAGCGUGCGCAGGCGGUUUUGUAAGCCAGAUGUGAAAUCCCCGGGCUUAACCUGGGAAUGGCAUUUGGGACUGCAAGGCUCGAGUGCGGCAGAGGAGACUGGAAUUCCUGGUGUAGCAGUGAAAUGCGUAGAUAUCAGGAGGAACACCGAUGGCGAAGGCAGCCCCCUGGGUCAAGACUGACGCUCAUGCACGAAAGCGUGGGGAGCAAACAGG